rnacentral:rRNA from 1 species
GGAUUCCCCUAGUAACGGCGAGUGAAGCGUGUAAGAGCUAAAAUUUUGUAAUCUAGUCAACUUUCAGUGUCCGAGUUGUAAUCUCGAGAAGUGUUUUCCGUGUCGGACCGCAUAUAAGUCUGUUGGAAUACAGCGUCAUAGUGGGUGAGAAUCCCGUAACUGAUGCGGACUGCCGGUGCUUUGUGAUACACUUUCGAAGAGUCGAGUUGUUUGGGAAUGCAGCUCAAAUUGGGUGGUAAAUUCCAUCUAAAGCUAAAUAUUGGCGAGAGACCGAUAGCGAACAAGUACCGUGAGGGAAAGAUGAAAAGCACUUUGGAAAGAGAGUUAACAGUACGUGAAAUUGUUGGAAGGGAAACGCUUGAAGUCAGACUUGCUAUUUGGAAUUCAGCCGCAAGGUGUAUUUUUCAAUUUGCAGGCCAGCAUCAGUUUUUGGGGGUGGAAAAGGGUAGAGAGAAGGUAGCAGUUUAGGCUGUGUUAUAGCUCUUUGCUGGAUUCAUCUUUAGGGACUGAGGAACGCAGUACGCUUUUUGCAAGGCUUUAGAGCUUUUCGUACUUAGAUG